rnacentral:rRNA from 1 species
CAAAUUUAAAAUCUACCUGGUUUCCAGGUCGAGUUGUAAUUUGAAGAUACGUUUUUGACGUUCCGGGUUGAACUAAAUCCUUUGGGAUAAGGUAUCAUGGAGGGUGAGAAUCCCGUAUAUACCAACCGYAGGGAUGUUAUUUAAUACGUUUCUAAGAGUCGAGUUGUUUGGGAAUGCAGCUCUAAAUGGGUGGUAAAUUUCACCUAAUGCUAAAUAUAAGCGAGAGACCGAUAGCGAACAAGUACAGUGAUGGAAAGAUGAAAAGAACUUUGAAAAGAGAGUUAAAUAGUACGUGAAAUUGUUGAAAGGGAAACGAUUGAAGUCAGUCAUGCCCGUGGGAAUCAACUUAGAGGAAACUCUGAGUGCACUUCUUCGCUUGGCAGGUCAACGUCGAUUUUGGAUGUCAUAAAAUGAUUGGGGGAAGGUAGCUCCUUCGGGAGUGUUAUAGCCCUUGGUAGAUGUGAUGUCUGGGAUCGAGGAUUGCAAUGGAUACCCUUUGGGGCUAGCCGCCUGAUCUCUAAUYGGUAUUGGG